rnacentral:lncRNA from 1 species
ACCCUAAUUCAUCUGUAACUGGCUUUCCUUGUCCCCAUGAUAUCUGGUGAUUCUACUUACUGAAAGAAUGAGCUUUCUAAUGAAAUGUUACUUUAGCUGAGUAUUUAUAAAAGCAACUUUGCUCAACAUAGUUUGCCCUUUUAUGUGAAUUGAAUUCAUUGAAAAAAUUCAUGUUUCAAUAAACAGUUGCAGAUUUCAACCUUAAUUAAAAUAAUUCCAUCUCCCCUUCUCUUCUCUUCUCUUCAUCAUUUCUCUUCCCUUUCUUUUUUCCAGCUUGUACUAUAAUUAGCAGCAUUAACAGCAAAUGUUUGCUUUCGUUAAAUUAUUCAGAACAUUUAUUUUACUUGUCAAAGGUUAGAUCAGGUUGUUGUUUGAACUGGUAAUUAAAUGCAGUCUAAUAUGCUCUCAUAUUUAUAUGCACUAUAAGCUUGGUUCCUCAUCAUUCUGUAUAAUUUUAUGAUGUUCAGGGCUGACAUUUCAAAAAGGCUUUUGACUUUGUGAAAGAGAAAACAUUCUGAGUAAUCUAGACUUUGUUAUCUGAUGUGUCCAGAGUUAUGAUUGAAAGUGAAUAUUACAUUUCAAUGCUCUUGUAACAUAUAGUAUCAGAGUGAUAAUUUUCAUGAAGUAGUAUAUACAAUUAAGCUCACUUCUUAUUGAAUUUGCAUUUACUAUAAGGAUCAUUGCUAUAGCACUUGGCCCCUAGUAUGUUCAAUAUAUAUUUGUUAAAUGAGUGUUGUAGGUCAUAUUAAAUAGUAUGGAGUAUAGCUCAGCUCUUGUAGCUCAAUGUAAUCUAAGGCAAUAUUUCUUCCUAUGACAUACUCCAAGGCUUUUUAAAAUCAUUUUAAUUUGUAUGCUUUUAUGGGGGAACAAAUAUAACUCAAUCCUUAUAUCUGGGAAUUAUACUCAAUUGUGUCUUGGGUUUUAUUGAUCAUUGAAUAAAUGAUUUUUGGAAGUACUUGUAUAUUAAUUACUAUUGUACAUUAAUGCCUUGGAGCAUAGAUGAAUAAAAGAUGUCCUCUUUCCUUAGAAAGAGUAGAGGAUAGUGGAAAACUAACCAUUUUGCUAAGGAACAGUUCAUGUUAGUGUGAAAUUAUAUAUAGGGUGAAUGGGCAUCUGAAACAGAUAACAGAUUGAGGGCAGCAAUGUGAAAUUUUGAGCUGAAUCUUGAGGACAGGUUAGCAGGUAGUUAGGCAAAUAAGGUGAGGCAAGUAAUGCCAGGGAGAGUUGUCCCAUGUAUGGGAGUUUUGAGGCAUACAGUAUGGUAUAGCUGAAGAAAGAGUUAAGUGUGGAGAAGCUGUAGCCCUUGUUCCUUCCUGUUUACCUGAAGCUAUUUAGUGGCUUCCCCUACCCUUAGGAAACAACUCAGGAUCUUAGGUGUGGUCCCUAAGUUAUGCCUAAUGUAGACUCUGUCUACUUCCUAAGCCUGAUUAUCAACCAAGCUGAACCUGGCUCCUUAAGAUUCUGUAUCGCACAUGCAAGUCCUCCCUCUCCCUAGCCCUUGCACAGGAUGUUUCCUCUGCCAAGAAUGCCCUUCCUCCCCCUUCUAGUUAAUUCCUACUCUCUGGUUACAAUCUGCAUCACUUUUAUUUAGUUAAGGUAUCAAUAUAACCUUAAAAAGAUGUACUCAGUUGGUCACACAUCUGCUAUCUGUAUCUUAUAAAAUGUUUUAAUUUUGAUUAUUAUUGUCAGUAAACUACAACAAAGAACUUUGGUCCCACUGUAGUUUUUUAUAUAUAUUCCCACAUAUGAUCUUAUUUAAAUUCUCAUGUUAGUUAUGAGCUAGAGGUUAGUGGAAAACCAAUAAUUAUACUAAAGAAUAGUGUUAGAGUGAAGUUAUACCCAAAAGCAAAUGGGCAUUUGAGACACAUUGGGGGAAGGAACAUUGACAAAAUAGAUGAAAUUUGUCUUUCAUUACAAAAUGCCACCUUCUAGCUAGAAUUUAGCUAAAGAGAAAGUAGGUAAUUAAAGAAAAAUAAAGACGUCUUUCAAAACAAGAGUAGAUAUGGAGUUUUAUAACAUACCUUCUUUCCCUGGAACUNAAAAAAAAAAAAAAAAAAAAAAAAAAAGAAAGAAAUUUCUCAAAAUCUAAGCAAUUACAUUUGAAAUGCAAGGGCUUAGGACAGUUCUCACCCUUAUACUAGUAUAUUUAGAAGCUAACCUCUGCUUCCAGCCCUGAAAAGAUGUGGAUUAUUUUUUUAUGUAAGUGGAUAGGCUUGACUCACAGAGCACAGAACACAGGUUGGGUAAAAUUCCCAGAUUUCUCACCCUUUUUUGUCUUCCUUGACUGCUUGGAGAAAGGGGAGGAUUUCUAACAAAUGGGUGAGGUUAAGGAUAACAGCUGACCUCUUUAGAGUAUGGUGAGUGCAGAUGUGGUGUCUGUGGGAGGAGUGGCCAUCUGAGAGCCUCUUGGUCUACAAAGAACUUGGGCUCUCUUUUCCCACCCCGUGUUCCUGAGCAGGCACUGAGCAGCACCACAGACCAGGUGUUUGUUCAGCUUCCACAGGCUCUCCCCAAGGGAAGGCCCAGGGUCUAAUACUAACUCUCAUUGAGAGGGACCAGUCCUUGUCUCUUGAGCGUAAUUAUUAUUAGGGGAUCUUUGUAGUGUCUGGUCUGUUUUAUGGGACCUGUCAUCUCAAAUAUUUUUAAUUCUAAUUCUUUAAUUUUGUGCUAAUAUACAUCUCUAACAUAUACCUAGGUAUUCUUGAAAAACUAAUAUCAGUUAAUAACUAACUUGGAUUCAGUUAGGUUUCUCUAUUAUACUUUAUUGGAUUCUUUCAAGCUAUCAUUAGGAAUGCCAUUUAAAAAAAAAAAAAAAAA